rnacentral:rRNA from 1 species
CCUACGGGUGGCAGCAGUGAGGAAUAUUGGUCAAUGGCCGGAAGGCUGAACCAGCCAUGCCGCGUGAAGGUCAGUGCCCUAUGGGCGUUAAACUUCUUUUGUGCGGGAGCAAUAAUGGUCACGUGUGGCCAGACGAGAGUACCGUACGAAUAAGCAUCGGCUAACUCCGUGCCAGCAGCCGCGGUAAUACGGGUGAUGCAAGCGUUAUCCGGAUUUAUUGGGUUUAAAGGGUGCGUAGGCUGGGAGGUAAGUCAGCGGUGAAAUGCCCCCGCUCAACGGGGUGAAGUGCCAUUGAUACUGCCUGGCUGGAAUGCGGAUGCCGUGGGAGGAAUGUGUGGUGUAGCGGUGAAAUGCAUAGAGAUCACACAGAACACCGAUUGCGAAGGCAUCUCACGAAUCCGCGAUUGACGCUGAUGCACGAAAGCGUGGGUAUCAAACAGGAUUAGAUACCCCAGUAGUC